rnacentral:rRNA from 1 species
ACUGGUGCCAGCAGCCGCGGUAAUUCCAGCUCCAAUAGCGUAUAUUAAAGUUGUUGCAGUUAAAAGCUCGUAGUUGAAUUUCGGGAUCAAUACGUCGGUCGUGCUUUCGGGUACGUACUGGCGUCGUUGGUUUCUCUCUUCUGACGAACCAUGAUGUCAUUAGUUUGGUGUUAUGGGGAGUUAGGACUGUACUUUGAAAAAUUAGAGUGUUUAAAGCAGGCAUUAGCUUGAAUACAUUAGCAUGGAAUAAUGAAAUAGGACGUUUGAUCCUAUUUUGUUGGUUUCUAGGGAUCGACGUAAUGAUUAAUAGGGAUAGUUGGGGGCAUUAGUAUUCAAUUGUCAGAGGUGAAAUUCUUGGAUUUAUUGAAGACUAACUACUGCGAAAGCAUUUGCCAAGGAUGUUUUCAUUAAUCAAGAACGAAAGUUAGGGGGAUCGAAGACGAUCAGAUACCGUCGUAGUCUUAACCAUAAACUAUGCCGACUAGGGAUCGGAUGAUGUUAAUUUUUUAAUGACUCAUUCGGCGCCUUACG